rnacentral:rRNA from 1 species
GGGACUUCCACUACGUGGAUCCCGAACCCUCACCGAUUUCCAAUCAACACCUGUGCACUGUCAGUUGGGUGCCGAGCCUCUGGUUCGGUUUCACCCGCUGGCGACCAUUUAACAAACCCAGAGUUAAUUGAAUGUGAUACAACGCCUCUAGUUGGGCGAAAACUAAAUACAACUUUCGACAACGGAUCUCUUGGUUCUCCCAUCGAUGAAGAACGCAGCGAAAUGCGAUAAGUAAUGUGAAUUGCAGAAUUCAGUGAAUCAUCGAAUCUUUGAACGCACCUUGCGCUCCAGGGUAUUCCCUGGAGCAUGCCUGUUUGAGUGUCAUGAAUCCCUCAAGUCCCAACGUUUCGCAAGACUCGUUGCUUGGACUUGGUCGUGGGCCGUCCUUUGCCGCUUCAUUGCCGGCUGGCCUUAAAGACAGUAGCUGGAUGUGGACUCCCAACACGUAGGGAAAGUCUCUCCAUUUGAUGUGAUAAAGUUACGUCGAUGGACCAAAGGAGACCGACCUGUUGGGCAGACCACUGGAUCCGCUUCCAACCCGGCGAUAGAGUUCCACCUCUUGACCCAAUUCAUCUCAACUCUGGCCUCAAAUCAGG